rnacentral:other from 2 species
AGAGCCCUGUGAUGUACGUGAACCACCGAAAGUUUUGAGCCAACACCAACACAAAGGGAGCCCGGUGUCACCUGUGGGCGCGAAGGCCCCGCUAGGGACUCGUAAACUCAGGUGCAGGGCACCCACCUGCCGAGAGCAGGUUCAAAACUGAGGGAGCCACGGCAUAAUGGGGCUCUC